GAUAAGAUGGCUGAAAAUAUUAGGUAAUAAAUUGUAAAUUUAUUUAUGGCGAUUUGCCUCUUAUCA
rnacentral:tRNA from 1 species